rnacentral:lncRNA from 1 species
GCUCAAACAUACCCAACGAGCUUCAACUUCCACACCAAACUGAUUCUUCGGCCGGAGUAGAUGAAAUGCUUCGCAGACAAGAUUCUGUGUUAGUACAGGACGAUCUCUACUUCUCUGCUGGAGACGAUGGACCAACGGAUCAGUCUCUGCCAGACCAAGACCAUCAAUUCAAUCAAGAAGAAACACCCGAAGCUUCAUAUCAAACGGUAUCAGAAGGUGGGACUCGAUCUAAACUCACUCCAGCUCAAAGAAAAGAAAACAAAAGACAAAGUGAUUACAAGUAUAGGCAAAAGCGCAAGGUAUAAGAUAAUCCAAUUAUUUUUCUCUCUCUAGAAUAUUGCCUCUAAUGGAAUUAGUUAUAAUCAAAAUGUUUACUUUAAAUGCCCUUUUUAACCCAUCAUAUUGAUAUGAUUGUAUUUUACCUAGAAUGGUCAAGUGGUGACCAAAUUAUGUAAAUUGAUUUCUUAGAUUUGUCUUGUUUGAUAUUAACAUUCUGCGGUGUAGGUAAAAGCAGAUGAACAGAAUGGGGAGAUUAAACGCUUGAAAGAGGAAAUUCAACGGCUCAACGUUGAGAAUGGACAGUUGACAGCACAACUUGGAUUGCCACUCUCUAUUGCGCAAUUCCAAGCAGCAGCUCAACAGAGACAGGAUGGUUACAUUACCCAGUCAACCGGCAAGCAGCUUCACCCUCAAACUCUUACUGUCCAUGGAACAAACUCUGAAGCUGUUGACAAGGUAUGGCAUAUUAAUUGUUCUUCAUGUUUGAAAAAUCUAAUGCUUGAACUGGAAUUUAUGUUUGGAUUUCGAUACCUUGGGUUAAACCAUAUUAAGUUUCUCAUAAAGAUUCAAAUUCUGGAAUCCUGAUUUGUUUUCCCUCACAAUUCAUUGUCUCGGCUCUGCAAUUUGGAGAUGAAUGAGAUACAAAAUAUACAGGGAACAGUUUCUGUAAUUGUAGUUGAUGGUAAUGACGGUAUAGCAAAAAAUCAGACGAGUUCUGAAGUUGAAACAUGCAUUAAUAAUGAAGCAGCCAUAACUGACAUUCUUAUGAAACUUGAAGCUGAUGACGAGAGCAGAGUGAAGUUCUCUGACUUCACUGGCUUACAUGGUGAGUGCAUACCAGUAGGAAAAUAUAGUUUCCCACCAGCCCUACAUCCGAUUGUGAAC